GAAAUAUAAAAAAAUUAAGCUUCUAACUUAAAAUAUAGUAGAUUAUAUCUAUUAAUAUUUCU
rnacentral:tRNA from 1 species